AAGAGAAAGUGAGAGGGAGCAUGUCAGAGAUGCAGGGAGUGUGAUAAAAAAGGGAAAAUGAGAGAGAGAGAAGAUAAGAUGAGGAAACAUAUAAAAAAAGCUGAGGGAACUGAGUAGAAAAAAGAGAAGGAGAGCAGGGUGGUACGGGGAGAAGAGCAAAUGAGGGAGCGAAUAGGAGACGAAGUGAGAGAGUGAGCGGGAGCAAGCGAGAGGGAGGGAGGCGAACAACACUGCAGACACUCGCCCACUGUCACUGCUCCACAGCCAGAGGACAGAGGCAGCCACGGCAACAGUGGGAGCGGAUACGAUGGAGGAGGGAGACCGAGGCGUCCAUCUGCAGCUCGCUCACUGACAGCCUCUCUGGGACCUUCCUGCCAAGUUAGGAGCAAAACAAAAAGAGAGGAGAAAACUACUCUCUCUGUCCUUCACAAGACCAAGUACCGGACCUCAACUCGUGCAGGACUGAAUACACACACACACCCCACACACACACACACACACACACACACCCCCACACACACUCCUUUCUCUAACACUCACACUCUUACUCACACCCUCACUCUCUCAAACAAGCACUCUUCACUUCUUGUUGCCUUUUUGGACUAGUGUGUUUUUUAUUUUUUCUACACUGCUGUCACUGACCUUCUGAGCUGAGUGGAUUUACUUUUAUCCUGUGGCGGACCAUGGGGCUAGGGUGGAGGGGUGCAGCAGGGGACCCUCAGAAUAAGGACAGAGGGGAGCUGGUAACCUUUUUGGUGACAUUGCUGCUGCUCUGUGGUUUCUGGGAGGCUCACGCUCAGACAGACGAUGAGAAGUCUGUCUACUUCUGGGAAACAGGUCCAUGGGGCCGAUGCAUGGGCAGCGACUGUGGCCCCGGCGGCAGCCAGAGCCGGGCGGUGUGGUGCGCCCAUGUGGACGGCUGGACCACGCUCCACACCAACUGUGACCAGGUCCAGCGCCCGUCCAACCAGAGGAACUGUUUCCGUGUGUGUGACUGGCACAAGGACCUUUAUGACUGGCAACUGGGUGCCUGGAAUGUGUGUGUGCCAGUUUCAGCAAGGACCUUAUGGGCCUUGCGGCCGUUCACAUGUAGUGGAGCCGAAGAGGGCAUUCAGACCCGGGAGGUGGGCUGCAUUCUCAAAUCAGAGGAGUCUCCAGCAGAGGAUUCCAUCUGUGAAUACUUUGAGCCCAAACCUCGCCUGGAGCAGGCCUGUUUAAUCCCUUGCCCUCAGGAUUGUGUGGCUUCUGAGUACUCGCCAUGGACGCCCUGCUCCAAAACAUGUGGAACAGGCCUCAAGACCAGGGUCCGCAGUGUCCUGGUCCCUCCACUUUUUGGAGGCUCACUUUGUCCCAACCUUACUGAGUUUAAGUCUUGUAAACCAGGGCCUUGCACAGGUCCAGAGGGCAUGUACAGUCUCAGGAUUGGACCCUGGAACCCCUGUGUCCUCCCUGUGACUCGGACAGAACGCCAGGUUAAGCGCAGGAAAGGUAAAGACCAGGGGGUCAGGGAGAGAGCUGGAGUCAAAGAUCCAGAGACCAGAGAGCUCAUCCAGAAGAAACGAACCAGGAACCGCCUUAACCGGCAAGAGAGUCCGUUCUGGGACAUCCAGGUGGGCUACCAGACUCGGGACGUGACCUGCAUUCAUCGGAACGGGAGCAUCGGUGCACGCAACCUGUGCACGAUGAGAGACCUGCCGCUGACUGUCCAGUCCUGCGUCCUUCCCAAAGACUGCCAGCUGACCGACUGGAUCCAGUGGGGCCCCUGCUCUAAAACCUGCUUGGACCCCGAGUCUCCCAUAGGCAAUCGCACUCGGAGCAGACAGGUGGUCCAGUUCCCUGUGGGCGAGGGGGCGGAGUGCACACCUCUGGAGGAGUUGGAGUCAUGUGAACCUCAGGGUGAAAGCGUGCCGCCUUGCGCAACCUACACCUGGAGGAGCACCGAGUGGAGCGACUGCCGGGUUGACUCGUUGCUAAGCCAACAGGACCGGAGACGUGGCAACCUGACAGGUCUCUGUGGGGGAGGCUUACAAACCAGAGAAGUUUACUGCGUCCAGGCCAACGCUGAGCUUCUCAAAUACCUCAACAACCUCAAAGAAAAGGAGAAAGCGGGUCAGACCCAAAGACAGCAGAAGCCUAGUGUCCCCCCUCUCCUCUCCGUCACCUUCCAGAUCACAGCCUCCCUCCCAGUGGAAAACAAGCUGUGCGAGGGUCCGAUUCCCAACAGGUCCCAGCUUUGCCAAAUCCCCUGUCCAAUCGACUGUGAGGUUUCCCCUUGGGGGGCCUGGGGGCCGUGCACCUUUGAAAACUGUGAUGAUCAGGCUGGAAAGAAAGGUUUCAAACUAAGAAAGCGACAGAUCACCAACGAGCCAACAGGAGGGCCGGGGAACUGCCCCCACCUGGUGGAGGCGGUGCCGUGCGACGAGCCCAAUUGUUACGACUGGAAACUGACCGGCCUGGAUCCGUGUGUUCCUGAAGAGGACAACCAGUGUGGCCCCGGCACUCAGAUCCCUCAGGUCCAGUGUGUCAACAGCACUGGAGCGGAAGUGGACAGGAAGCUCUGCACGUCCUCCCCGGCUCCAGAGCCCGUGGCCUGUGAGGUGCCUUGCUCAAGAGACUGCGUGCUCAGUGAUUGGACGCCCUGGACCAGCUGCUCCCAGACCUGCUCCAGUAAGACCAUCGAGGGGAAGCAGAUGAGGACGCGCUCCAUCCUGGCCUACAACGCCGGGGAAGUCACUGCGAUGGUUGUGGCGUGGAUCACAGUGAUGGAGGGUGGAGGCGCAUGCCCGAACAGUAGUUCCCUUCAGGAGGUUCGGAACUGUAACGAACACGCCUGUACGGUUUACCACUGGCAGACGGGUCCUUGGGGUCCUUGUACCGAAGACCCCUCCGCUUCAACCCUAAACACCUCCACGGCAGUCGGAGCCAGCGGUGGUGGUGGUCCCUGCUCCACGGGAUUGCAGACUCGUAAGGUCAUCUGCGUCCGGGUCAACGUUGGACAGGUGCCCCCCAAGAAGUGUCCAGACAGCCCCCGCCCCACCACCGUGCGACCGUGUCAGCUGCCCUGCAAGAAAGACUGCAUCAUGACCCCUUUCAGUGACUGGACACUGUGUCCUUUCACUUGUGAUGCAGAUGGUAACGCUGUGAAGACAAAGCAAACAAGGAAACGUCUUAUCAUCCAGCAGCCAUCCAACGGAGGACAGGACUGUCCCGAGGUGCUGGAGGAGGAGAAGGACUGUGAGGUCCCCAAAAUCUGUCCAGGAUUCAGGUGGAAAACCCAUAAAUGGAGGAAGUGCCAGCUGGUCCCAUGGUUUCUCAGACAGGAGCGUCCCGGUGCGCAGGAGACCUGUGGACCCGGGCUCCAAACAAGAGCUGUGUCGUGUCGCCAGCUGGACGGGACGCAGGCCGACAUCAACGAGUGUCUGAAAUUUGCCAAGGCCAUGCCCGCCAUCACUCAGCACUGCCAGCUCCCCUGCCAGGACGACUGCCAGCUAACCAACUGGUCCAAGUUCUCGUCCUGCACAGCUGACUGCGUGGGGGUCCGCACCAGAAAGAGGGCAUUGAUAGGGAGGAGCAAGAAGAAAGACAAGUGCAAAAACACGCAAAUGUACCCUUUGAGUGAGACCCAGUACUGUCCGUGUGACAAGUACAAUGCCCAGCCGGUGGGGAACUGGUCCGACUGCAUCCUGCCCGAGGGGGGGAGAGUGGAGAGCCUCCUGGGGAUGAAGGUGCAGGGAGACAUCAAGGAGUGUGGGCAGGGGUACCGCUACCAGGCCAUGGUGUGCUACGACCAGGACAACCGGCUGGUGGAGACCCUGCGCUGCAACAGUCACGGUUAUAUCGAGGAAGCGUGCAUCAUCCCCUGUCCCUCAGACUGUAAACUCAGCGAAUGGUCCAACUGGUCAAGAUGCAGCAAGUCCUGUGGCAGCGGGGUCAAAGUUCGCUCCAAAUGGCUUCGAGAGAAACCUUACAACGGGGGCCGGCCGUGUCCCAAACUGGACCACAUCAACCAGGCCCAGGUGUACGAGGUGGUGCCGUGCCAGAGCGACUGUAAUCAGUAUGUGUGGGUGGCUGAGCCAUGGAGCGUGUGGAAGGUCAGCAACGUGGACUUAAAAGAGAACUGCGGCGAGGGCGUCCAGACCAGAAAAGUCAGGUGCAUGCUCAACACAAUAGACGGGCCGUCGGAGUCGGUGGAGGACUACCUGUGUGACCCUGAAGAGAUGCCCCUGGGGGCCCGGGAGAGCCGGCUGCCCUGCCCAGAGGACUGCGUGCUGAAUGACUGGGGCAGCUGGAGCCGCUGCAGCCUGCCAUGCACCAGAACCAACAGUCGAGUGCGGGUGGCAUACACGCUCCGUUCUCCCAGUGUGGGGAGGGAGUGUCCCGACACGAGUGACAAUGAGCCCUGCAACCUGAACCUCAACUGUUUCAACUACUUCUACAACAUCACAGACUGGAGUACCUGUCAGCUGAGUCCUAACGCUGUGUGUGGGAGCGGCAUCAAGACCCGGAUGCUCGACUGUGUUCGCAGCGACGGAAAAUCAGUCAAUAUGAAGUUCUGUGAGGAGUUGAAUUUGGAGAAGAAGUGGCAGAUGAACAUCUCCUGUGUGGUCGAGUGUCCCGUCAACUGUCAGCUGUCAGAGUGGUCCGCAUGGUCAGCCUGUUCACAGACAUGCGGACUUGAAGGUAAGAUGUGGCGGCAGCGGGCGGUGGUCCAGGCCUCGCAGGGCGACGGCCGGCCCUGCCCCCCCCAGAUGGAGCAGUGGAAGCCCUGCCCCGUGCGGCCCUGCUACCGCUGGCAGUACAGCCCCUGGUCCGAGUGUCGGGUGGAGAAUGUGGUGUGUGGACACGGUACACGCUACAGGAACCUGACCUGCUACGUGUCGGACGGCUCCAGAGAAGGAGAAGGCAGUUUGGUGGACGAGGAGCUGUGCAACAGCCUGAAGCUGGCCGUGGACGGAGACACUGAGAUCCUCCUGAAAGAGGCCUGCACCCUGCCCUGCCCAGGUGAAUGCUACCUGAUGGAGUGGUCAGACUGGAGCUCCUGUGUUAGUAUCUGCGCCAAAGGGGCCGGUGUGGACUUCGGUUCUGUUCAGGUUCGCUCUCGGGCCGUGUUGGCCCAGGAGCCGGAGAACCUGCAGCUCUGCCCCGACCAGGCCUGGGAGUCUCAGCCCUGCACAGGGGGCCAAUGUUACGAGUACAAAUGGUUCAGCGGCGGCCGUCAAAACUCCACUCGCCCCUCUAUCUGGUGCCAGCGCUCCGAUGGACUCAAUGUCACCGGAGGUUGCCCUCCCAUGAACCCUCCAGUGGAUAACAGCUCCUGUGACCCUCUCUGCCUCAUGCCCAAGUCUUUCUGCAGUGAGGCUGCUGUGUGCAUGUGUGAGGAGGGCUUCACAGAGGUGCUGUCCCCCGUGGGGCAGCUGGAUCAGUGCGCCCCAAUCCCCAUCCUGGAGAUCCCCACAGCGGGGGACAAGAAAGGGGACGUGAAGACCAGUCGUGCCAUUAACCCCACGUUGCCCAGCACCCUCCAGCCCGGACGCAGCGGGCGGACCUGGUACCUGCAGCCCUACGGACCAGAUGGGAAGCUGAAGAUGUGGGUGUAUGGUGUAGCAGCCGGAGCCUUUGUGCUCCUCAUAUUCAUAGUGUCUAUGAUAUACCUAGCUUGCAGCUCCUGUGCCAAGGUGCAUCGCUCUCUUAAGGCCCAAGAGUCUGACGCCAAUGGGACGGCACUCUGGAUGGGCCAAAAUGCACAUGAGAUGAUUUACACCUGUCCCGAUUGCCAAGAGCACGCUCAAAGCAGCUAAUGGAAGGAUGUGAAGGGUUCACCCCCCCUCAAAACACCCUCCAGUAUAAGUACCUGCUGUCCUUGACCUUUCCCCGUGACCUCUGUCUAAAGUGUCACAUGUCCUGCCUGACUAGCUGAGUGAAGGUGCUGGUGCAGCAAAAAGCCAAAGAGACCUCAGAGACAGAGGCAACAAAACAACCGACUAAAACCUCUGACUCUCGCCUACGACGGAGACACGGACAUGUAGUCCCUCGGAGACGCUUCACCACGCACUUCGCCUGUCAUAGAGACACCUCUUCAUCACGCCAUUACAGUGAGGGACACGGAUGUUUGCAGCAUGAAUGGACGCGUCACACAGCGAGAAAUCACAGAAAAUCCUCUUAGCAGAGACACUGGUUGUGUUUAACCGUUUCAAGUACGGCUCCAUUCACUCUCCCUUUUUGUUUUUUAGUGUUGUUUCUUUUGCAAGAGCCUUCAUGACCUCCACCCUGUUCAAUGAAAUGCCUUUUUUUGCCCCCCCUACGUGUCCCUAUGUCUCUAAAGGCUGAGAGUCUGGGUGCAGAAGACAGAGCUCUCAGAACAUGGCAGCACAAGCUCAAACUCUUCCCCCGCGCUUUUCCGCUUGUCCCUAAAAAUGCUGAGUAGCUGGAGGCUUAGGAUGCUCUGACGGUUCAUACGUUGCCAAAAGUCACCGCAGGGGAGAGGAGGAGGGAGAGGAAAAUCUCCAUAAAAAGGUUUGGAUUCCUUUUUCUCAAUCCUCAACUGGGUUUUGACUCAAAUCUCUUUUGCAGUCUUGAACAAAAGGGAGGCAUUUCUUCUCUUCUUCAUUUGGAGGCCUGUGUUUGUGGGAUAAACAGAUCCGUACGAUGCUGACGGAGCCUGCAUCAGUUGUUCAUGAAAACGGCCGCCUGCCUCCGUCCUUCCUUUGUUUCAGGCUCUACAUUGCACUAUAUUAGUGCAGCAUGAUAUGCACUUGUGACUUCUACCUUCGAUUGCCAUAAAACACUGCCUCUUCCACAGAACAACCCAUAGAGCAGAGCAACACGAAAACAUUCAAGAGAAACAUGUUCUGCCAAACAGAUGUGAAUCUCAAGUAAAUAUAUGUAUAGAUUUGAUUUCUCACCGCUGAUUUCUUUUUGGUUGAAGUAAAGUACCUUUUGUGGUUUGUAGAUUUCGUCCUGUGUUAUCACUUUUUUUUCUGCCCAGAUGUAAUUAAAGAUUUAAAGAUGACAUCAGAAGGUGACUUUUUUUAAAAGAAUCACCUGCUUUAAAGUUAUUUUUAACCUUAAAGAAUCUGAUCAAAUUCAAUAUUUUUACAUGUAUUUACCUAAAGUGGUACAUUGUGUACAAGAUAAAACCUUUGCAGUGAAUACAAAAAAAAGAAGGAACAAUAAAUGAAACCAUGCAAAUGUCAUUUCUGCCUUACAACUAAAUACUAACAGUCCUGUAAAAGAGUUUUUAAUACUUGAAUGGGGCAACUUAUAAAAUACAUUACAUAAAAGCGUAGAGAAAACGACAUUUUCUUUUUCAAAGCAAAGCCUCCUUCAGAGUUUUUAAACGUUUUCAUGUAGCUAUCCGUAUCAUAGGUGCUCUAUCGUUUUUCAGUCACAAUUCAUUAAGGAAGUUUAAAAAACAAUGGGUACCACUUUACAAUAAGACUACCCUUAUAAAGGAUUCAUAAAGGGAUUAUAAUUAGGUUAUGAAUUAGGUUGUAAACACUUUAUUAAUCAUUAAGAACCAUUUAUAAACCAGUUCCAACAGUUUCAUACAUCAACAUAGGCUCACUAUUUGGCAAGAUGACUAAGCCUUACAUUGGCUACUUAGCGAGAAUCAACAACAGAUACCAAGGAUGCUGGCUGAUGAAGAAGACGAAGUAAGCUAAGUAGCCAAUAUAAGGCUUAGCAGUACAGAUAAAUGUGGGCUCACUAUUUGGCAAGCAACCGGUCACAGUUGCCCUGUUCAUCUCAUGUCUUAUAAAAGCUUAUUAAUGAUUUAUAAAGUGUUCACAACCUAAUUAAUACAUGAAUUACAAACUAUUCGUAAACUCUUUAUAAGGGUAGUCUUAUUGUAAAGUGCUACCAAACAAUCUGUACAAAGAAAUAACAUGUUAAUAAUUAUAAUAUAAUAAUGGGAGAACACACUUCUGCUGAGUUCAACGUAAAAGCAAACUGGUGUGGAGAAUGUUUACUUGUUUGUUUUGGGAUUUGUAAAUAACAGCAAUUUUUUAUUUUUUUGGAGAAAAAAUGAUCAAAUUAUGUGUACAUUUAUUUUGUAUUGCACAGAAAUGUUUAGUUUGAAUAUUGCAAAGUGGGUGUGUGAUAUGUUGCUGAUUGUUGUAAUCAUGAUGCAAGUUGGAUGUUAUGAGACAAAAAAACGAGAAAAAAAUAAGCAGAAGAAAAAAAUAAGUAAAAAGGCUCAGCCGUUUUGUACAGGAUGUUUAUAUGUGUGCAAAGAAUUACGAAAAAAUAAAUAAGGACACGGUUGUUAACACAAGAA